rnacentral:sRNA from 1 species
UUCUCUUGUCAGAUCACCCAAAGAUCCAACGACAUGGUUGAUCAAGCGAGUCGUCGCCCUCGAAGGGGAUCAAGUCAAGGCAGAUAGUUGUUUUGAAGAAAUCUGUGACGUGCCUAAAGGUCAUUGCUGGGUUGAGGGAGAUAACCGCAAGUGUAGUAUGGACAGUAACAACUUUGGACCAGUUUCCCUGGGACUGGUGACAGCGAAAGCAACUCACGUCAUCUGGCCCCCGUCCAGGUGGGGAACAUUGGAUAAGAAAGAAGUCACUGGAGAUAGAGUCACAUUACGAGAGCAUGUACAAAGAGGAAAAGUCUUUUUUGGCUGGGAACAAUAAGUUGGUUCCUUAGAGUAGAGUG